GCCCGAGUGGUGUAAUGGUAGCCACGAGAGACUUAAAAUUUCUUGGCCUUUAACGGCCGUGUGGGUUCGAGUCCCACCUCGGGCA
rnacentral:tRNA from 1 species